rnacentral:rRNA from 1 species
AAGAGACAGCAGUCGCCGCGGUAACACGUAGGUGGCAAGCGUUGUCCGGAAUUAUUGGGCGUAAAGGGCUCGCAGGCGGUUUCUUAAGUCUGAUGUGAAAGCCCCCGGCUCAACCGGGGAGGGUCAUUGGAAACUGGGAAACUUGAGUGCAGAAGAGGUGAGUGGAAUUCCACGUGUAGCGGUGAAAUGCGUAGAGAUGUGGAGGAACACCAGUGGCGAAGGCGACUCUCUGGUCUGUAACUGACGCUGAGGAGCGAAAGCGUGGGGAGCGAACAGGAUUAGAUACCCCCGUAGUCCCUGUCUCUUAUAC